ACAGAUGGGAGCUUGCUCCCUGAUGUUAGCGGCGGACGGGUGAGUAACACGUGGGUAACCUGCCUGUAAGACUGGGAUAACUCCGGGAAACCGGGGCUAAUACCGGAUGGUUGUUUGAACCGCAUGGUUCAGACAUAAAAGGUGGCUUCGGCUACCACUUACAGAUGGACCCGCGGCGCAUUAGCUAGUUGGUGAGGUAACGGCUCACCAAGGCGACGAUGCGUAGCCGACCUGAGAGGGUGAUCGGCCACACUGGGACUGAGACACGGCCCAGACUCCUACGGGAGGCAGCAGUAGGGAAUCUUCCGCAAUGGACGAAAGUCUGACGGAGCAACGCCGCGUGAGUGAUGAAGGUUUUCGGAUCGUAAAGCUCUGUUGUUAGGGAAGAACAAGUGCCGUUCAAAUAGGGCGGCACCUUGACGGUACCUAACCAGAAAGCCACGGCUAACUACGUGCCAGCAGCCGCGGUAAUACGUAGGUGGCAAGCGUUGUCCGGAAUUAUUGGGCGUAAAGGGCUCGCAGGCGGUUUCUUAAGUCUGAUGUGAAAGCCCCCGGCUCAACCGGGGAGGGUCAUUGGAAACUGGGGAACUUGAGUGCAGAAGAGGAGAGUGGAAUUCCACGUGUAGCGGUGAAAUGCGUAGAGAUGUGGAGGAACACCAGUGGCGAAGGCGACUCUCUGGUCUGUAACUGACGCUGAGGAGCGAAAGCGUGGGGAGCGAACAGGAUUAGAUACCCUGGUAGUCCACGCCGUAAACGAUGAGUGCUAAGUGUUAGGGGGUUUCCGCCCCUUAGUGCUGCAGCUAACGCAUUAAGCACUCCGCCUGGGGAGUACGGUCGCAAGACUGAAACUCAAAGGAAUUGACGGGGGCCC
rnacentral:rRNA from 1 species